rnacentral:tRNA from 1 species
GCGGUGCUGGAACCGGCAUACAGGGCGGGCUCAAACCCCGCUGCCGCAAGGUGUGCGGGUUCGACUCCCGCUGGGCGCU